rnacentral:rRNA from 1 species
CCUACGGGAGGCAGCAGUAGGGAAUCUUCCACAAUGGGCGAAAGCCUGAUUGGAGCAACGCCGCGUGAGUGAAGAAGGUUUUCGGAUCGUAAAACUCUGUUGUAAGGGAAGAACAAGUGCAGUAGUAACUGGCUGCACCUUGACGGUACCUUAUUAGAAAGCCACGGCUAACUACGUGCCAGCAGCCGCGGUAAUACGUAGGUGGCAAGCGUUGUCCGGAAUUAUUGGGCGUAAAGCGCGCGCAGGCGGUUUCUUAAGUCUGAUGUGAAAGCCCUCGGCUUAACCGAGGAGGGUCAUUGGAAACUGGGAGACUUGAGUGCAGAAGAGGAAAGUGGAAUUCCAAGUGUAGCGGUGAAAUGCGUAGAGAUUUGGAGGAACACCAGUGGCGAAGGCGACUUUCUGGUCUGUAACUGACGCUGAGGCGCGAAAGCGUGGGGGAGCAAACAGGAUUAGAUACCCUGGUAGUCCACGCCGUAAACGAUGAGUGCUAAGUGUUAGGGGGUUUCCGCCCCUUAGUGCUGCAGCUAACGCAUUAAGCACUCCGCCUGGGGAGUACGGUCGCAAGACUGAAACUCAAAGGAAUUGACGGGGGCCCGCACAAGCGGUGGAGCAUGUGGUUUAAUUCGAAGCAACGCGAAGAACCUUAC